UACGGAGGGUGCAAGCGUUGUCCGGAAUCACUGGGCGUAAAGGGCGCGUAGGCGGCUCAUGAAGGCUGUGGUGAAAGUCCGGGGCUCAACCUCGGAUCGGCCGUGGCGACUCGUGGGCUGGAGCACUGUAGAGGCGGGUGGAAUUCCGGGUGUAGCGGUGGAAUGCGUAGAGAUCCUGAAGAACACCAGUGGCGAAGGCGGCCCGCUGGGCAGUGGCUGACGCUGAGGCGCGACAGCGUGGGGAGCAAACGGG
rnacentral:rRNA from 1 species